UACGGAGGGGGCUAGCGUUGUUCGGAAUUACCGGGCGUAAAGCGCACGUAGGCGGCUUUGUAAGUUAGAGGUGAAAGCCCGGGGCUCAACUCCGGAACUGCCUUUAAGACUGCAUCGCUUGAAUUGUGGAGAGGUAAGUGGAAUUCCGAGUGUAGAGGUGAAAUUCGUAGAUAUUCGGAAGAACACCAGUGGCGAAGGCGACUUACUGGACACAUAUUGACGCUGAGGUGCGAAAGCGUGGGGAGCAAACAGG
rnacentral:rRNA from 1 species